AACGUUUCCAUGAGUCGACGGCGUGCCUGUGUAUAUUGCUUGUUCAGUUUUAAUGACUUGAAAAGUUUGAAAUGAACGAGCAUACUUCUGUCAUGUUUCAAGAUAUCUUUUCCCGCACUUUUGCUUUUGUUUCUGGAAAGGAUUUUACUACAAUUUGCUCUGUCUUGUAGCUGUCUUAAUAAGCCAAAUUUCUUAGGUCACAUUGCUCCUAAAACAUCACCAAGCAGAUUUUUCUUGUUGGUCAUUUGGUGAUUAUUGGUAUGACCUAUAGAUUCUAUAUUGCAGAAUAGAAGCUUACUUUGAUGCCUUUGUAGUAUCGAGUGCCAGGGGUCAUGACAGGGAAGGAUAACAUGGCAUCAGAAACUGCAGUGCAGUCUCUUUCAAUUUGUUCGAGUAAGGAAGCAUCUGUGACGCUCAUGAACAUGUCACACAUUGCAUCAAAUGUCAUCUGCAUCAAAUCUAUUGAGCAUGCAGUCAAUUUUCUGAACAAACUUGGAUAAAGAAUUCAUAGAGAAAGGUUCAGACAGAAGACGCCUGAUUCUUCUGUGACUUUCAUGAGGAACACAUAGCAAGCUAUUCUUUCCUACUGCAUCUGCCAUUGAUUUCACAUAUCCCUUGUUGAACAGUGCAAAAUCAUUGGCAAAGAUUGUCUUGGCACCGUCAACACUUGGAACAUACACAUGGAUCUUGCCAAAUAUCCUUGUUUUGAACCAUUUCCCAUACCUAAUUUUAUCAGUCAGUCAAUCAGUACAUAUUUCAUGAAGCUACUUAGCUUCUGCAGUAAUUUUACCUUAAUCAGAGAGUUGGUGGUAAUGGAUAUCUCUACUGUUUUCUUUUUUUUCAUUUUUAUUUUUACUGUCUCUAAUCUUUUCUUCUUCUUCUCCUCCUCCUAUUCUUUUUUCUUCUGGUUGGCAUUAUACUACAAUUUUCAACUGCCUUUUUACAUGAUUAUGACAUGGAAAUUGCUCUUACUGCAAAUGAGAGGACUACAUAGGUUUGAGAAGAAAGGCAAAACAUAUGUACUUCAUCUUAGUCAGAAAUUGAAAAAGUUCAGGUAUUUUG